rnacentral:piRNA from 1 species
UCAAAUGGUGCCCAUCUGCUUUUAUGUC